UUCCGCCAUCACUCCACUACAUAGUACUGAGACUUUUUUUCAGGGUUGUUCAGUUUCUACUCUCCAGAGAGGGUUGCGAGAAGCACCGCCAUCAUCAACAGUCUCCACUAUGAGGAGAUUCUUUGGAGUUGAGAGUGUUCCAGCCGUGCUUGAUGCAGAAGUGGUCAACAUAUUUUGCUUCCUAAUAGCUGCAGCCAUACUAGUUGCAGUAAUGGGAUUCACUCUAAUAUGGUGCGCAGUUUGCCUUCCGUCUCCUAUACCAAGACCGGCUUUAUCAGCAAGAACUCCCCUACUCAGGUAUCUUGGUGUGGCUACCAUUCGCCCCUUUCGCUUUCGAGCUGGGACCGAAGACCCCUUUCUCGUUUAGGGUUUGUUGUAUGAACAUCAAUAAAGAUUAUGCAUUUAGCAUAAUUUCUGGGGAGAAAAAAAACCCUUGUAUCCAGCGUUAUAAUAUUGAGAUCUGGGCUGUCUUUAGCUGCUUUGAUCCAGCUUUUCCGAACCUUUUACUGGCAAAAUGUGCGCCAGAUAUGUUAAGGGCUUGUAGUAUAUGGCCUUUUAACCGGGCUGUUUUUGGCUGCUUGUGGAUGGCUUUUCUAAACCUUUUUACUGGGUGGUGGGUUCUUCAAA